AUGAAUUUCUCCAAGUGGGUAUCUUUGAUUUUCAUUCUUAACUUGUUUUGUCCAACACUCAGUUUCUCAGAUUCUUCUUCUUCUGCUUCAAGCUCAAAUGGGCUCACAGAAAUCCCCAAAAGGUUUCUCCAGUUUGCCAAGAGACCAGAACUGUUUGAUUGGAUGGUGGGAAUAAGAAGGAAAAUACAUGAGAAUCCAGAACUGGGUUAUGAGGAAUUUGAGACUAGUAAGCUUAUCAGAACUGAAUUGGAUAAGAUGGGUAUUACUUACAAGUACCCAGUUGCUGUAACUGGUGUUAUUGGCUUCAUUGGGACUGGUGGACCACCUUUUGUGGCCAUAAGGGCUGACAUGGAUGCUCUUCCUAUGCAGGUUUGAUUAAAUUUUGUUACUUUAUUCUAUAUAAGCAAAGCAAGUUGUGUUAUUGGAGAGUUUAAUUGUUGUAAGAUUGAGUAAUUUUGUUCAAGUUGAGUAUGUAAGUGAGAGUUUGGCAACUAGGAUUUAUAUUAUAAUAUUAGAAAAGAAUGUAUCUUUGUGAACUAUGUUGAUAGGGAUCUUAAAUUUAUAGGAAAUGGUGGAGUGGGAGCACAAGAGUAGAAUUCCUGGGAAGAUGCAUGCUUGCGGACAUGAUGCCCAUGUUGCAAUGCUUCUUGGAGCUGCAAAGAUACUUCAAGAGCACCGUGAAGAGAUAAAGGUCUGUUGACUUUUUGUUUGUUUGUUAAUUUCAAAUCCUCUGUAGACAUUUUUUUUUUUUAAAGAAAUCUUGUAUAGACAAAAUUGUUACUAUGUUAGAUUACUUUUCACAUGACUAAAUUACAACUCUCCUUACAAAAAGUUAAAAGGCCAAGCUACUAAUCUCCUAUUUGCUCAAGUGGUUUUUCACUGCUUGAUUUGUGUCUAAAUUAAUCAGCUCAAUGAUACCAUAGAAAAAGCCUCUCUUUUUUUUGAUAAAAAAAAAUGUAUAUGGAUAUUUUACUGGUUUCAGGGGCAUCUUUUUUCCAAUACGUACAGAGCAUAUGACCAAGAAUUAGGGAUUAGAAUCCUUGAAUGUUGCAAAUGUCAAUUUGCUACAGUGAUAUACCUUUAGAAAGGGGCUCAAAAGUGCUAAUAAUAGUUGUGAGGUACCAGAAAAGAAAUCUGAUUCUCCAUUACAUAAUAAGAUAUAGUUUGUUACUUUUGGAUGGACGAUCAAUUGCAAUCUUUUCUCCCUUUUUAUUUUUUAUUUUUUAUUUUUUUAUUAUUAUUAUUAUUUUUAAAGUUGGGAGUGGGGAGCUCCAAAACAUUAAAUCUGUAUGAUGGAAGGUUUGCCACCUAUUAAGAUAUUGACAACACAACUAAUAGCCCAUGAAUCACUUGUAAUUUGGAUGAUUUUUUGAGGUUCUUUUUGCCCCGUUUUGGCUUCUGAUAUUAUCCAAUUUUUACCAGGGAACAGUUGUACUCGUUUUCCAACCAGCUGAGGAAGCUGGUGCAGGGGCUUUGAAGUUGAUAGAUGAGGGGGUGUUAGAGAAUGUAAAUGCUAUCUUUGGUUUGCACGUUUCAUCUAACUUAGCAGUGGGUGAAGUGCACUCCAAAGCUGGUCCCAUAGGGGCUGGGAACGGUUUCUUUGAAGCUGUCAUUAGUGGUAAAGGAGGUCAUGCGGCCAUUCCUCAACACUCUGUAGACCCAAUAUUGGCAGCCUCUAAUGUGAUUGUUAGCUUACAACAUCUUGUUUCACGUGAAGCCGAUCCUCUGGACCCACAGGUAGAUCUCAUUUCUCCACAAUAAUUUGGGUUCAUUUCCCCCUUUUUCUUUAUCCAAUAUUAUAGAAUGAUUUAGCACAUGUUUAGAGUCCUCUAGCUUAAAGUGCAUCACUAUCUACAGAAACUGUUAUAUUCUAUACAGCCUCAACCACCCCUUUUCAAGUUCUUUAGGUGCAUUUGGUGAAAAUAAAUAAAUAAAUAAAGGUGCACUGCUUCCGUAUCAGUAAAAGUAGAGCAUCCUAUUUUGGCACCUACUAGAGGUUAGUGCCUCAUUGUGAAGUGGCUUCAACACUUAUCUCUACAAUGAUAGGGUACAACCUGAUUGGCUGGCAACAAUUGUGAUUGUUGUGAAACCAACCUCAAAAUCAUAAUGUUUGCCACAUCUAUUAAUUGUACCUGAAAGAAUCAUGAUGAACCAGAGAAAAGUAACUUCGUAGCUUGUAAAUGAAGCUGUUGUUCUUAUUAAAAAAUUAUAUUUGUUGCUGAAAAUAAAUUAAGGGUUAAUCACCAUGAACUUGGCAUGCCUAACAGCAUUGAUGAGCAGUAAAAACAUCAAGACUCAAGAAGGAACUCCCCCCCCCCCCCCAUCUCUCUCUCCCAAUACAUGACCCCCCCCCUUCUCUCUCUCCCAAUACAUGAGAGGUAGAGGCCACAAAUGGUAUUUUUUAUGUAAUUAAAGACUUCGCAAUAAUCUUGGUAUAUUAUCUAAAAAUUGUUAGAAUUCUCUUGAAAAAACAUGGGGUUCUUGAACACUCUUUUAAGAGGAGACAAAUAGUACUGAUAGGGGCAUUAGCUGAUGCUGUGAUAUAACUUUCAGGCUGUCAAUGUAAAAGUGCUGAAGGUUAGGACCCUAUUUAGAUCAUACGCUUUUUCCUCUACUUUCAGGGGAUUAACACUUGGUGAUAGCCUAUAAAACGUGAUUAGGUGAUGUAAAUAUGAAAAAAAACUUCUCUUCUGAUAUCUUUUCCUUAGAAUGGUCUGCGGAAUUUGCUUCUUCUGUUAAACAUUAUUUUCAUGCAAGCCAGACAUUGUCUGUGAAAUACAUCCUUAUUGCGACAAUCCUAUAAAUCUGCUUAAUGCCCUUGCAGGUAGUUACGGUCGCGAAAUUCCAAGGGGGUGGUGCAUUCAAUGUUAUUCCAGAUUCUGUAACAAUUGGUGGCACUUUUCGUGCAUUUUCUAAGGAAAGUUUUAUGCAACUACGAUAUCGCAUUGAGGAGGUAUGGAAGUUAAAAGAUGCAUUACAAUAUAUGUGGCAGAAUCUGUGUUUCACAUACUUUAGGAUUGAUAAUGAAAUUUUGGUAACUAAUAUAAUGCCAAGAAGCAGGAAAUCAGCUUUUUCUUUCAUGCAUACAUCCCAACUGAAAAUGAUUUUUCAAUGGUUACUUCCCAUUCAGUCCCCUUCUUAUCACCAUAACAAGUUGAUUUACUUCUCUAACAGGUUAUCAGAGGGCAGGCCGCUGUGCAGAGGUGCAAUGCAACAGUGGAUUUUUUCAAAGAAGCGAAACUAUUCUACCCUCCGACCAUAAACCACAAAGGCUUGCAUGAGCACUUCCUAAAUGUUGCUGGGGAUAUGAUUGGCAUUCAUAAAGUGAAGGAUGUUAAACCGUUGAUGGGAUCUGAAGAUUUUGCAUUUUACCAAGAGGUCAUACCUGGAUACUUCUUCUUAAUUGGAAUGCAGAAUGUGACACGUGGACGGCUAGAAUCAGAGCAUUCACCGUUCUACCAAGUCAACGAAGAUGCAUUUCCUUAUGGUGCUGCACUACAUGCAUCAUUGGCUGCUAGGUAUCUGCUUGAAUAUCCACCAGAAGUUUCUUCUUCAGAAAGAAAAUUUCACGAUGAGUUGUAAAUGUUUCUUGACUGUAUUGUUACCUGUUCAAAUAUCAUGCCAGCUUUGGCAUGGCCAAAUUUUCAUUAGGCAUUAGGUUUAGAUUCAAUCCUACUUUGGCUGGAGAUGACUUGUUGAAAAUUGAAAUCAUCUAUGUCAAUACUCUUAGGUUCAUUUAUGUUAUCACUAUUGAUUUAUAUUUUAGUAAAAAAAGUUAGUCAAUGUCUGCUUAAUGCUUAUCCAUAUGCGAGAAAAAAAUUUAAUAUCACAUUCUUCAAGCAUUCUUUUCACGACUGUCUACAUUGUCGUUACUCUUUAAAUUCAAAACUUUGAAUAAUUCAAUUAUGGUUAUACUUUUUAUAUGAUGAAAAUUCUUUAAGUAGAAUUGUCUUGCUCCACUUGUUGCCCUAUAUCAAUUUUUUUCAUUGCAUACAAGUCAUGAAAUAACUCAAAAUAGAAUAGAGGUUGAAGCUGACAAGAAGUGCACGCAAAAGAACUAGGAUACAAACAUGACUGUCAAGCAUUUGCAAUAAAAUAAGAAUGUGUACAAAAAGAAAGUCUUGAUUAAUACUUUUAAGAUGCAUACCCUAUUAUCUCACGUCAGGGAAUGAGUCUAAUAGUGAAAGUGUUAUAGCCGGAAGGGUCUACAAAUUCUCGGCAGUGUUAUAUGUUUAUAAACUUUUGCAUAAUUUUUUUUUUAAAAGAAUUUCAACCUAUAGCAUCUGCUCUUAAUAAUAAAAUAGAGGUUGAAGCUGACAAAAAGUGCAUGCAAAAGAAUUAGGAAACAAACAUGACUGUCAAGCAUUUGCAAUAAAAUAAAAAUGUGUACAGAAAGAAAGUCUUGAUUAAUACUUUUUAAAUGCAUAUCCUAUUGUCUCACGUCAGGGAAUGAGUCUAAUAGUAAAAGUGUUAUAGCCGGAAGGGUCUACUAAUUCUCAGCAUUGUUAUAUGUUUAUAAACUUUUGCAUAAUUUUUUUUUAAAAGAAUUUCAACCUAUAGCAUCUACUCUUGAUAAUAGUUCUUUAUCAUCAAACUAAGACACCGAUCGAUUUUUGGUAUAAGCGAUAAAUGAACCCUAUAUCUCUUAUUCAAUUACCAGAAAUUUUAUCAAUUGAGUUAAUUAGAACUCACAACUUUUGCAUAUUAGAUAUGAAUGAUAUGCUUAAAUCAUGGAGCUAUUAAGUCAGAAAUUUAUAAAUGAGUCUUAUAUACCAAUUAUUACUCUAAUUUAAUAUUUUUCACUGGCUGCAAGUCAAUGAUAAGAGGAUCGAUCCCCAGCCGUCCCGUGAUGCAUGCUAUUGAGUCUAUUUUAAUAUUUUUAAUAUUCUCACAUGUGUCUAUUAAAGACUUUUUUUUUAUUUAAAUCUUUGUAUCGAUUAAAAAAAAUGAAUAAAAUAGCCUCCCCUCAUGAUAAAUAAAAGAAUCCAUGUCUGUGGCAGUUUUAGGAAUUUUUUUCAAAAGGGUCACUAAAAAAUUUUAAUUAAAUAAAAUUUAAUACCAAAAAAAAAAAAAAAACUUGAACAUAUCAAGUCAUAAAAAAAUGCAAAUAUAUGAAAUUUUACAAUUUUUACAAGCUUUCAUAUUUUAAAAUAGUUACAUGAUAAUUCAUUAUCAGUUUUUAUUAUCUAUUGUCAAUGUGCUAGGUGUGACCAUUUUAUUGUGUUAAGUUUGUAUAACAUUUAUUUAUAUUUAUGUAGUUGUCAUUAUUUUUAUAAAAAUAUUUUCAACUAAAAUGAGUAACCAACUAACACUAUAUUCUUUCUCAAAAAAACUAACACUAUAUUAUUUAUUGGGUUUGGCUUACCUCUAACACUUUUUUAACUAGAGUUUUCCUUUUAUUUUAAAUACACAAUGACAAGUGGUAGUGAGUUUUAAUCUCUACCUUUUAUUUAGUUAGUGGGUGAUGUGAUAAUUUCUCAUUAAAAUAAAAGAAUAAUCCAGUUGAAAAAGUAUUGGAGGUAAGCCAAACCCUUAUUUAUUAACCUACUCAUACAUAUUCAUUCAUACAUAAAUAUUACACUAAGUGUCUACUUAACCAAUCAAAUAUUUGAACAAUUGCUAACUUUACUAUUUUUUUUUCUUCAAUUAAGUACUAACAUAAAUAAUACACUAAAUGUCUAAUUGUUGUUUAGUUUUAGGUUGUAUUGAUCUAUGAUCAAGGUGUGCAAGAUUUCAGCUAAUGUAUGCAAAAAUAUUUUUAAGCAUAAAAUAAACUAAUAAAAAAAUUUAUAUAAUUUUUUUUUUGAAGUCACAAGAAGUGCUGCCCCUAUUCCAUGUAAUUUGCACAUGACAUAGAGAAAUCAUUAAUGAUAAGACGAUAUUAAAAGACAGGUCUCAUUAUUUAUAAUAAGUUUGUAGCUAUUAAGUCAGAAAUUUAUAAAUGUUUCUUAUACCAACCAUUGCUCGAUUUAAUAUUUUUCACCAAUUGUAAGUCCAUGAUAAGAGGUGCCUUGAUGCAUGCCAUUAAUGGUCUGUUUAGAUUGAGGGGGAAGGAGAGAGAGCAGAGGAGAAUAGGGUAAAAUUGGCUAAAAAUUAGACUAUUUUUGACCAACUCUACUCUCCUCCACUCUUUCUUCCUCUCCCCCUCAAUCCAAACAGGGCCAAAGUCUAUUUUAAUAUUUUAGACUUUUUAUUAUUUAAAUCUUUGCACCGAUAAGGGGAAAAAAGAAUAAUAGGGCUUCCCUUCAUGAUAAGUAAAAGAUUCUAUUUAAUUUGCGCAUGACAUAGAGAAAGAAAUCACCAAUGACAAUUGAUAAGAGGAUAUUAAAGGAGAGGGCUCAAUAUUCUUAAUAAUCAUGUUAGAGGGCCACUGUUUUGGUUCUUCACUUGAUAGCUCCCCUGAAUAGUUAAUGUUCUUUUCCGAGUUCUCAUUAUUUUCUUCUCCUGCUUUAUCGACUUGUACCCUCUUUUACUUUUGUGUAAAAUCAUUCUGGGAUGCUAAUAAUUUUGAGGGUCACUUGCAUGGUAUUGGAAAAACCAUAAAUACCUGUAAGGAUAUACUUUUGUCACUCUUGUAUUCAGAGGGCAAUAGUUGAUUUAAUGAAUUGGUAAAUUGGUAUAGGGCUUGGAGAGAAUUAGUGUGGAUAAAAUGAAAGUUGUUGAACCUAUUAUUCAUCACAUCAUAAAUAUGGUUUAUACAAAAUAUGAAACAUGUGCUAAUUUAAUUUCCAAGGCAUGGGAACCCAUAUGAAGCAUAUGACAAUUAUGAAAAGCACCAGGAAAAUGAAAGUAAGAGAAUUCAUGUAAGGAUCACAAUUUUUUAAAGAAAAAGUUAAUGAACUAUUGGGAAAAAAGAGGGGGGGGGGGGGGGAGUUUGGAAAUUCCUUCAAAGAAAGGGGGGGGGGGGUGGAGUUUGGAAAUUCCUUCAAAGAAUCCACAAGUAGCAAGAGUUAAUAUCAGGCAUUCAGAAAUUCAGGCUUUACAUAACCUUAUGUGAUGAUGAAUUUGGCUCUUGCAUUUGCAGUUGGAUAGAAUUGGCCUCAAAGAGAAUGUGGAAGAAUUGA
rnacentral:sRNA from 1 species